rnacentral:rRNA from 1 species
AGCGAACGCUGGCGGCAGGCCUAACACAUGCAAGUCGAACGAAGUCUUCGGACUUAGUGGCGGACGGGCGAGUAACACGUGGGAACGUGCCUUUAGGUUCGGAAUAACUCAGGGAAACUUGUGCUAAUACCGAAUGUGCCCUUCGGGGGAAAGAUUUAUCGCCUUUAGAGCGGCCCGCGUCUGAUUAGCUAGUUGGUGAGGUAAAGGCUCACCAAGGCGACGAUCAGUAGCUGGUCUGAGAGGAUGAUCAGCCACAUUGGGACUGAGACACGGCCCAAACUCCUACGGGAGGCAGCAGUGGGGAAUCUUGCGCAAUGGGCGAAAGCCUGACGCAGCCACGCCGCGUGAAUGAUGAAGGUCUUAGGAUUGUAAAACUCUUUCACCGGGGACGAUAAUGACGGUACCCGGAGAAGAAGCCCCGGCUAACUUCGUGCCAGCAGCCGCAGUAACAC